rnacentral:tRNA from 4 species
GUGGGCGUAGCUCAGUUGGUAGAGCACCAGGUUGUGGCCCUGGUGGCCGAGGGUUCAAGCCCCUUCGCUCACCCCA